rnacentral:rRNA from 1 species
GACGAACGCUGGCGGCGUGCUUAACACAUGCAAGUCGAACGGAAAGGCCCUGCUUUUGUGGGGUGCUCGAGUGGCGAACGGGUGCGUAACACGUGAGUAACCUGCCCUUGACUUUGGGAUAACUUCAGGAAACUGGGGCUAAUACCGGAUAGGAGCUCCUGCUGCAUGGUGGGGGUUGGAAAGUUUCGGCGGUUGGGGAUGGACUCGCGGCUUAUCAGCUUGUUGGUGGGGUAGUGGCUUACCAAGGCUUUGACGGGUAGCCGGCCUGUGAGGGUGACCGGCCACAUUGGGACUGAGGUACGGCCCAGACUCCUACGGGAGGCAGCAGUGGGGAAUAUUGCACAAUGGGCGGAAGCCUGAUGCAGCAACGCCGCGGGCGGGAUGACGGCCUUCGGGUUGUAAACCGCUUUCGCCUGUGACGAAGCGUGAGUGACGGUAAUGGGUAAAGAAGCACCGGCUAACUACGUG